ACUAAGCGUACACGGUGGAUGCCCUGGCAGUCAGAGGCGAUGAAGGACGUGCUAAUCUGCGAUAAGCGUCGGUAAGGUGAUAUGAACCGUUAUAACCGGCGAUUUCCGAAUGGGGAAACCCAGUGUGAUUCGUCACACUAUCAUUAACUGAAUCCAUAGGUUAAUGAGGCGAACCGGGGGAACUGAAACAUCUAAGUACCCCGAGGAAAAGAAAUCAACCGAGAUUCCCCCAGUAGCGGCGAGCGAACGGGGAGCAGCCCAGAGCCUGAAUCAGUGUGUGUGUUAGUGGAAGCGUCUGGAAAGGCGUGCGAUACAGGGUGACAGCCCCGUACACAAAAAUGCACAUGCUGUGAGCUCGAUGAGUAGGGCGGGACACGUGGUAUCCUGUCUGAAUAUGGGGGGACCAUCCUCCAAGGCUAAAUACUCCUGACUGACCGAUAGUGAACCAGUACCGUGAGGGAAAGGCGAAAAGAACCCCGGCGAGGGGAGUGAAAAAGAACCUGAAACCGUGUACGUACAAGCAGUGGGAGCACGCUUAGGCGUGUGACUGCGUACCUUUUGUAUAAUGGGUCAGCGACUUAUAUUCUGUAGCAAGGUUAACCGAAUAGGGGAGCCGAAGGGAAACCGAGUCUUAACUGGGCGUUAAGUUGCAGGGUAUAGACCCGAAACCCGGUGAUCUAGCCAUGGGCAGGUUGAAGGUUGGGUAACACUAACUGGAGGACCGAACCGACUAAUGUUGAAAAAUUAGCGGAUGACUUGUGGCUGGGGGUGAAAGGCCAAUCAAACCGGGAGAUAGCUGGUUCUCCCCGAAAGCUAUUUAGGUAGCGCCUCGUGAAUUCAUCUCCGGGGGUAGAGCACUGUUUCGGCAAGGGGGUCAUCCCGACUUACCAACCCGAUGCAAACUGCGAAUACCGGAGAAUGUUAUCACGGGAGACACACGGCGGGUGCUAACGUCCGUCGUGAAGAGGGAAACAACCCAGACCGCCAGCUAAGGUCCCAAAGUCAUGGUUAAGUGGGAAACGAUGUGGGAAGGCCCAGACAGCCAGGAUGUUGGCUUAGAAGCAGCCAUCAUUUAAAGAAAGCGUAAUAGCUCACUGGUCGAGUCGGCCUGCGCGGAAGAUGUAACGGGGCUAAACCAUGCACCGAAGCUGCGGCAGCGACGCUGAUGCGUUGUUGGGUAGGGGAGCGUUCUGUAAGCCUGCGAAGGUGUGCUGUGAGGCAUGCUGGAGGUAUCAGAAGUGCGAAUGCUGACAUAAGUAACGAUAAAGCGGGUGAAAAGCCCGCUCGCCGGAAGACCAAGGGUUCCUGUCCAACGUUAAUCGGGGCAGGGUGAGUCGACCCCUAAGGCGAGGCCGAAAGGCGUAGUCGAUGGGAAACAGGUUAAUAUUCCUGUACUUGGUGUUACUGCGAAGGGGGGACGGAGAAGGCUAUGUUGGCCGGGCGACGGUUGUCCCGGUUUAAGCGUGUAGGCUGGUUUUCCAGGCAAAUCCGGAAAAUCAAGGCUGAGGCGUGAUGACGAGGCACUACGGUGCUGAAGCAACAAAUGCCCUGCUUCCAGGAAAAGCCUCUAAGCAUCAGGUAACAUCAAAUCGUACCCCAAACCGACACAGGUGGUCAGGUAGAGAAUACCAAGGCGCUUGAGAGAACUCGGGUGAAGGAACUAGGCAAAAUGGUGCCGUAACUUCGGGAGAAGGCACGCUGAUAUGUAGGUGAAGCGACUUGCUCGUGGAGCUGAAAUCAGUCGAAGAUACCAGCUGGCUGCAACUGUUUAUUAAAAACACAGCACUGUGCAAACACGAAAGUGGACGUAUACGGUGUGACGCCUGCCCGGUGCCGGAAGGUUAAUUGAUGGGGUCAGCGCAAGCGAAGCUCUUGAUCGAAGCCCCGGUAAACGGCGGCCGUAACUAUAACGGUCCUAAGGUAGCGAAAUUCCUUGUCGGGUAAGUUCCGACCUGCACGAAUGGCGUAAUGAUGGCCAGGCUGUCUCCACCCGAGACUCAGUGAAAUUGAACUCGCUGUGAAGAUGCAGUGUACCCGCGGCAAGACGGAAAGACCCCGUGAACCUUUACUAUAGCUUGACACUGAACAUUGAGCCUUGAUGUGUAGGAUAGGUGGGAGGCUUUGAAGUGUGGACGCCAGUCUGCAUGGAGCCGACCUUGAAAUACCACCCUUUAAUGUUUGAUGUUCUAACGUGGACCCGUGAUCCGGGUUGCGGACAGUGUCUGGUGGGUAGUUUGACUGGGGCGGUCUCCUCCUAAAGAGUAACGGAGGAGCACGAAGGUUGGCUAAUCCUGGUCGGACAUCAGGAGGUUAGUGCAAUGGCAUAAGCCAGCUUGACUGCGAGCGUGACGGCGCGAGCAGGUGCGAAAGCAGGUCAUAGUGAUCCGGUGGUUCUGAAUGGAAGGGCCAUCGCUCAACGGAUAAAAGGUACUCCGGGGAUAACAGGCUGAUACCGCCCAAGAGUUCAUAUCGACGGCGGUGUUUGGCACCUCGAUGUCGGCUCAUCACAUCCUGGGGCUGAAGUAGGUCCCAAGGGUAUGGCUGUUCGCCAUUUAAAGUGGUACGCGAGCUGGGUUUAGAACGUCGUGAGACAGUUCGGUCCCUAUCUGCCGUGGGCGCUGGAGAACUGAGGGGGGCUGCUCCUAGUACGAGAGGACCGGAGUGGACGCAUCACUGGUGUUCGGGUUGUCAUGCCAAUGGCACUGCCCGGUAGCUAAAUGCGGAAGAGAUAAGUGCUGAAAGCAUCUAAGCACGAAACUUGCCCCGAGAUGAGUUCUCCCUGACUCCUUGAGAGUCCUGAAGGAACGUUGAAGACGACGACGUUGAUAGGCCGGGUGUGUAAGCGCAGCGAUGCGUUGAGCUAACCGGUACUAAUGAACCGUGAGGCUUAACC
rnacentral:rRNA from 1 species